rnacentral:miRNA from 1 species
UACAAGUGAUGAUUUCAAGCGAC